rnacentral:rRNA from 1 species
UACGAAGGGUGCAAGCGUUAAUCGGAAUUACUGGGCGUAAAGCGUGCGGAGGCGGUUUGUUAAGUCUGUUGUGAAAUCCCCGGGCUCAACCUGGGAAUGGCAAUGGAUACUGGCAAGCUAGAGUGUGUCAGAGGAUGGUGGAAUUCCCGGUGUAGCGGUGAAAUGCGUAGAGAUCGGGAGGAACAUCAGUGGCGAAGGCGGCCAUCUGGGACAACACUGACGCUGAGGCACGAAAGCGUGGGGAGCAAACAGG